rnacentral:rRNA from 1 species
AACCUCUUUUAGCAGGGAAGAAGCGAAAGUGACGGUACCUGCAGAAAAAGCGCCGGCUAACUACGUGCCAGCAGCCGCGGUAAUACGUAGGGCGCAAGCGUUAUCCGGAAUUAUUGGGCGUAAAGAGCUCGUAGGCGGUUUGUCGCGUCUGCUGUGAAAUCCCGAGGCUCAACCUCGGGCCUGCAGUGGGUACGGGCAGACUAGAGUGCGGUAGGGGAGAUUGGAAUUCCUGGUGUAGCGGUGGAAUGCGCAGAUAUCAGGAGGAACACCGAUGGCGAAGGCAGAUCUCUGGGCCGUAACUGACGCUGAGGAGCGAAAGGGUGGGGAGCAAACAGGCUUAGAUACCCUGGUAGUCCACCCCGUAAACGUUGGGAACUAGUUGUGGGGUCCAUUCCACGGAUUCCGUGACGCAGCUAACGCAUUAAGUUCCCCGCCUGGGGAGUACGGCCGCAAGGCUAAAACUCAAAGGAAUUGACGGGGACCCGCACAAGCGGCGGAGCAUGCGGAUUAAUUCGAUGCAACGCGAAGAACCUUACCAAGGCUUGACAUAUACGAGAACGGGCCAGAAAUGGUCAACUCUUUGGACACUCGUAAACAGGUGGUGCAUGGUUGUCGUCAGCUCGUGUCGUGAGAUGUUGGGUUAAGUCCCGCAACGAGCGCAACCCUCGUUCUAUGUUGCCAGCACGUAAUGGUGGGAACUCAUGGGAUACUGCCGGGGUCAACUCGGAGGAAGGUGGGGAUGACGUCAAAUCAUCAUGCCCCUUAUGUCUUGGGCUUCACGCAUGCUACAAUGGCCGGUACAAAGGGCUGCAAUACCGUGAGGUGGAGCGAAUCCCAAAAAGCCGGUCCCAGUUCGGAUUGAGGUCUGCAACUCGACCUCAUGAAGUCGGAGUCGCUAGUAAUCGCAGAUCAGCAACGCUGCGGUGAAUACGUUCCCGGGUCUUGUACACACCGCCCGUCAAGUCAUGAAAGUCGGUAACACCU